UUCAAAUACAAAUUUUGUACA
rnacentral:piRNA from 1 species